AUCUAUGAAAACUCCUAGAUCCUUUGAGAUUCAUUGAACUUUCAAUGGCAUGUUUAAAUCUCGAUAUGCCCCUCUUGUUUGUGACUGGGAUGCCGAGGAUCACAAAGCGGGUGUGAAUAACCAUGCAAACUUACAUGGUGCCCUCACAUGUUACAGUCACCUAUUCGAUGUGCCGGUAAACCACACACGCUCCACCGAACUAUGACAAACAUUGAGUCACCCUUUGCUACCUUUGCUUAGAACCAUUUAGUGUGCCGGUAAACCACACACGCUCCACUAACGUCUUCGCAAGGGCACAAAGUGUAAUUUCAUGGAAUUGCAUCAAUUCACUUUUGCCUAAGUAACUAAGAUUGGGAAUUUUAUGAAAACAUUUAGUUACUUUUAUACUUCAUUAUACUUAUAAUGGAAGGUUUCGUCCUAUCCUACCCGUUCGGCUAACGACCCUCCACUAGUCAAGAGUGCGGUGGGUAAGAGUGGAUACCCAUUCAAUCGCCAUUUUAUAGGCAAUUUCCUUAAACACCCCUUAUAGACCAGCUUCGUGAAUGAGGCCUACUAACGGUAAGACUGACUUUUACUCAUACAUAUAUAUAAUGUUAGACUUUUAAUGUUAUAUAUAGUAUAGGGUGUAUUUUACACUUUUAAAAUACUAGGUGGUCAAAUUUAACAAUUAUACUUUUAAUUCAAUUAAAUUGUAAACCUAAACUUUUAUGGAUUUAUUAAACCUCUUUUAAUUAUACACCUUAAUUAAUUAAUAAAACCAUAAGGGUGUGAUUUGAACUUUUUCAAAACUAUACUAGAGUUUUAGAAUUUAACAUUCCUAAUUAAACUUUUAAUCAACUUUUAAAUUCCAAAACUUGAGGGCAAGUUUUGAAACAUUUCAACACAUUAGGGUUUAGAAUUUAAAUAUACAUCAAAAUUAAACUAUUUAAUCAAAAUUUAAAUUCCAAAACUUGAGGGCAAGUUUUGAAACCUUUUUCAAAACAUUAGGGUUUCAACUAUUUAAAUUUCAAAACAACAAAACUUUUGGGUUCAAAUUUAAACUAUAAAACCUAAGGGGAAAAAUAUGAAACUUUUCAUAACAACAAGGAUCAAAUAACAAAUAAUUCAAAUUAACAUUUAAUCACAUAAUUAUCCAUAUUUGAUUUAUUUAAUGAUUUCUUGCAAAACAAUUUAUCAAUUUACUCAAAAUAAUUAAUCAAUUAUCUUAUAAGGAAACAAUUAUCUUAUUAAUUGAUAAAUAUCUUCAAUUAGAUCAAAAAUAUAGUCAAAUAUAUCAUAUAAUCGGAUUAAUAUUGAUCUAACAUGAUAAGGUAAUUAUCCCAAUGCAAAAACAGCAAGAAAUCCCGAGAUAAGCACUAUCUGACGCACCGACUCGCCGAGUCACCCUCUGGAACUCGCCGAGUAGGGCUGACUCGCCGAGUCCAAGAGUGACUCGCCGAGUCAGGUCGAACAGUGAGGCCAAAACACGAUUUUCAGUUACAUCAAGCAUCAAUACAAUAGAAACCAAUCAUGGCUCUGAUACCACUGAUGGGUUUUGGUCAUAAGACAUCCUAUGUGCUCAUACAAACCCUAAAGCUUGGAUCUAGGUUUCUCUAUUGUACAUGCAAGUUAUCCAAGACUAUAAACCCUAUGUCUUGCAUACAAGUAAUCAUAUGAACAUAAGAAUGGGUUUAAGUUAUUACCUUGAUUGUUAUAUAGCAAUAACAAUCCCAAAUCCUUCUUGUAUUGACUUUAGAAAGCUUAGAGUCACAAAUGUCACUCCUCUAAUGGUUCACAAACACCAAGAGCAAGAGGAUGAGGAGGAGAGAGGAUGGAGGCUGCCCAAAACGUGUUCUAACCCUAGAAGAGAAGUUCCCCACGUUUUUUAUCAUUAACGGUUCUAUAUAUAGUGAGGUUAUUAGGGUUAUCUAACAAGGAAACCCUAAUUUGGAUGCUUAAGCCCUAAGCAACCCAUGGACCCCUUUCCUUAAGGCCUUGGACGAUUUCUUAUGGGUUUCCCCAUAGAAUUCGUCCACUCCUUAAUAUAAGGCAAUCCAUAGCCCAAAUUGCAAUUAUCUUAUAAUUACAAUUCCAGUCCCUUAAGUUUAAUUAAUCUCUUUUAGUCACAAAACUAAUUACCAAUUAAUUAUUGACUAAUAUUAAUUAAACAAUAUGAUUUCUCCUUUAAUAUAUUAUUCUCAUAAUAUAUUAACAAAUCAUAUUUAAUCCUUCCUCUCCAUAAUUCAUCCUAUCAAGUUGCUUUGGUGAAGGCAACCCAAAAGGACCAUCCACCAUCGGGUCAAGUACAUACUAAAAUAGUUAUGGGCUUAGACACUAAUCCAAGAGUAUAAUCAUAUUUACUUAACUUUUAGUAAAUCAUGACGAAUAUCUUGUUACUCUGAUGGUGGACUUGAUCAACACGCAACUUUGUGUACUCGAUCUCCUAGUCCUUCACUUGACACUUUGUCAAUGAAUUAGUCUAAUUUCCAAAUAUGAAAUUUCUCAUUCAUCGUGCAACCAAGUUGCAUGAUUCCAAGUUUCUGUCCAAUUGAAACUUGGGCGAUGAGAAACUCUCCCUAUUUGGUAAAUUCUCGACAUUUCCACAAACAACAUAAUUAAGAAUCAAAUCCAUUAUUUCUAAUAUUAGAAACCCUCAAACAUCAAUUUUCAUGCAUGCCAUUGCAAGGAUAAAUAAAUAAUAUAAAAUCAAAAUUUAUUUUAUUGCGGAAAAAUUUGUCCUUACAAUGCAAUUCAUUGAUAAACUAUGCUAAUACAUAUUUCUAAUUCUAACUCUAAGUAGUAGCUCAAGAAUCUAAUCUUCAAGUAAUGCGAUCGAAAUCCAUUCCUUCACGGUUAGAUUCUGCUCACUUCUUCCCUUAAGCUUCCUUUCUUUUCUUCGAUCCUACAACACAUCAAUUGUAAUCUUAUCACAUUAUGUAUUAAGAAUCUAGAAUAGGAGCUUAAAAGAGUUAGUCAAUGGAUUUUUCCUAAAGCAGAGCCAUACGUUUUGACUAUCCCAUCUCUUAGAUCUCUUAGGUAAAUAGGGCAGCUUCGUCUCCAAUGCCCCUUCUCUUGGCAAUAGAAGCAAAUUGACUCUUUUGGAACAGCACAUGGAACUACUUCAGAUAUUGCCUUUCUCUUAUGAUCAAACUCUUCGAUCAUAGCAUGUCUUUCGUUGCCAUUGUCAAUAUCCACAGAGGUCUUGAAGGCAGAUUCACCAAUCAACUUUGCUUUCUAUCGCGCCAAACCAUUGUUGAUUCAGCGGCAAUAAGCAUAUAGGUGAGAUCUAUAAGGGUCACGUCGCAGUUCAUCAUAUAGUACUCUCUUACGAACUCACUAUAUGAGUUAGGAAGUGACUGAAGAACCCAGUUAACAGCCAUCUCCUCACAGACAACGGAUCCCAACAUUCUUAACCUAUCAAUGUGUGACUUCAUCCCUAGGACGUGUACACACACCGACUUUCCUUGUUAAUAUUUACUUGCCAAAAGGGCUUGAGUGAGCUUGAACUUUUCAAGCCUUCGAACUUGUGGGUUAAGGAGAAUAAUUGAAGGAGGUGGAGGAAGAGAAGCAAGAUCUCUUGUUCCUCGAUCGAAUCAUGGAAUAUCAUGUUCAUGCGGAAUGCUUGUUCCACGGGAUUUGGGAAGACCAUAUUUGUCAUACUUUGACAUCUACAAAACGGGAGAAAACGAAUUCAAGUUAGUUGAUUGAUUGAAUCCUUAGUAAAUCACCCAAAUGAGAUACUAAGGCUAGGACCCAACACAAUAUUCUACAACUCGGGAGAGGGAUGCCGUAACCCUAAUUGCAGAAUAUUUGAAGGUAAGUGAAUGACGAUUCACUAAUUUCCACCAUGAAAAACGAAAAAGAAAUUUAAGUUUUAAAUCUAUGAAAACUCCUAGAUCCUUUGAGAUUCAUUGAACUUUCAAUGGCAUGUUUAAAUCUCCAUAUGCCCCACUAGUUUGUGACUGGGAUUCCGAGGAUCACAAAGCGGGUGUGGAUAACCAUGCAAACUUACAUGGUGCCCUCACAUGUUACAGUCACCUAUUCGAUGUGCUAGUAAACCACACACGCUCCACCGAACUAUGACAAACAUUGAGUCACCUUUUGCUACCUUUGCUUAGAAUCAUUUAGUGUGCCGGUUAACCACACACGCUCCACUAACGUCUUC
rnacentral:lncRNA from 1 species